UACGGAAGGCAGCAGUGGGGAAUAUUGCACAAUGGGCGCAAGCCUGAUGCAGCCAUGCCGCGUGUAUGAAGAAGGCCUUCGGGUUGUAAAGUACUUUCAGUCGUGAGGAAGGUGUUAAGGUUAAUAACCUUAGCAAUUGACGUUAGCGGCAGAAGAAGCACCGGCUAACUCCGUGCCAGCAGCCGCGGUAAUACGGAGGGUGCGAGCGUUAAUCGGAAUUACUGGGCGUAAAGGGCACGCAGGCGGUUAAUUAAGUUGGAUGUGAAAUCCCCGGGCUUAACCUGGGAAUGGCAUUCAAGACUGGUUAGCUAGAGUCUUGUAGAGGGGGUAGAAUUCCAUGUGUAGCGGUGAAAUGCGUAGAGAUGUGGAGGAAUACCGGUGGCGAAGGCGGCCCCUGGACAAAGACUGACGCUCAUGUGCGAAAGCGUGGGGAGCAAACAGGGAUUAGAUACC
rnacentral:rRNA from 1 species